CCACAAUGCGGAUAAAAUUCCAAGCGUACUGUUUAAAGCUGAACUUCUUACUUCAGGACUUGGAGAGCAAAAGUAACAUUUUCAGGGAAUGACCACGAUCCCAUGGUUAUAACAAAUAAACUGAUGGAAGUGUUUCCGAAGCUCCAACAAGGGGGAGGCUUUGAAUUUCUAAAACUUGUAGGAUCUACUCGCAGUCGAAAUCUUGCGUUGCUUCAGUGUCCCAGCACUGGAUACACCCUUGCCUAUCUGAAAGAUCCAUCGACGAUGAUUGGACAGGCUACAAUCUACAUACGUCCACUUCAACAGGAUCUACCCUUAGAUUGUGAGAGCUCACGUCCUGCCUCUGGUCCAGUCAUCCCCUGCAUCACUUGUCAGAAGGAAGUUCCCUUUUCAGAGAUGAAGCUGCACAGAUUGAGCUGCAAUGGGACACCCAUGCAGGAAUCAGAAAGAGAACAAGAGGGAGGCCAAAGUGAAGAAAAUGAUAGUGAGACAGCCCUAGUCAGUGACAGUGUUCCAGUGAGGCCUGAAACAUCAGCUGAGAGUGCAGUAGUACCGGCAGUGAUUGUCAACGAGGAGUUGGAUCGCAAAGAAACAGACAGUGGUUUGUGUCAUCACAAUAGUGUUGCUAUAAGAUUGUGUGUAACUGAAAAGUUAAUAGAAAGAUAACACCUGUAGGAUAUAAUUAGAUAAGAUAAUACAGUUACAGACAACUAACCACUUAGUCAUUAUAUCCACAAUAUGAUAGUUAUUUAUCCGAAAUCUAAAUGUGGAAGAUAUUUUGUGAAUGCACCAAUUGUCAACCUUACAAUAUCGUUGCAAUAUCGACAUCAAGGUGUUAGGUCAAAAAUGUGAUA